rnacentral:rRNA from 1 species
AACCCAAUGUGAACGUUACCAAACUGUUGCCUCGGCGGGAUCUCUGCCCCGGGUGCGUCGCAGCCCCGGACCAAGGCGCCCGCCGGAGGACCAACCAAAACUCUUAUUGUAUACCCCCUCGCGGGUUUUUUUAUAAUCUGAGCCUUCUCGGCGCCUCUCGUAGGCGUUUCGAAAAUGAAUCAAAACUUUCAACAACGGAUCUCUUGGUUCUGGCAUCGAUGAAGAACGCAGCGAAAUGCGAUAAGUAAUGUGAAUUGCAGAAUUCAGUGAAUCAUCGAAUCUUUGAACGCACAUUGCGCCCGCCAGUAUUCUGGCGGGCAUGCCUGUCCGAGCGUCAUUUCAACCCUCGAACCCCUCCGGGGGGUCGGCGUUGGGGAUCGGCCCUCCCUUAGCGGGUGGCCGUCUCCGAAAUACAGUGGCGGUCUCGCCGCAGCCUCUCCUGCGCAGUAGUUUGCACACUCGCAUCGGGAGCGCGGCGCGUCCACAGCCGUUAAACACCCAACUUCUGAAAUGUUGAACCUCGGAUCAGGUAGGAAUACCCGCUGAACUUAAGCUUAUUUCGCUGCCCCCCGCCUCUCGUUCCGAAGUUUACCAACUCCCAAACCAAAGGUGAAAGUUUUACCAAACCGUUUGCCCGCGCGGGUAUUUCUUCGGGGGUGCGUGCACCCGACAAGGCGCCGCCGGAGACAACAAAACUC